GUGGGGGAUAUUGCACAAUGGGGGGAACCCUGAUGCAGCGACGCCGCGUGGGUGAAGGAGUGCUUCGGCAUGUAAAGCCCUAUCGGCAGGGAAGAAAGGCGCCGCGAGGCGCCUGGACGGUACCUGACUAAGAAGCCCCGGCUAACUACGUGCCAGCAGCCGCGGUAAUACGUAGGGGGCAAGCGUUAUCCGGAUUCACUGGGCGUAAAGGGAGCGUAGACGGCCGUGCAAGCCUGGAGUGAAAGCCCGGGGCCCAACCCCGGGACUGCUCUGGGAACUGUGCGGCUAGAGUGCGGGAGGGGCAGGCGGAAUUCCUGGUGUAGCGGUGAAAUGCGUAGAUAUCAGGAGGAACACCGGCGGCGAAGGCGGCCUGCUGGACCGCGACUGACGUUGAGGCUCGAAAGCGUGGGGAGCGAACAGGA
rnacentral:rRNA from 1 species